UUGAAAGGGAAACGAUUGAAGUCAGUCGUACUUGCGGGUAAUCAGCCUUUUGGGUGUGAUUCUGUGGAGCGUGGGGAGUUAAACGCCUUCAUGCCUGCGUAUUCGUGCACUUUGGGUGUACUUGCCCGUGUGGUAGGUUAACAUCAAUUUUGAUCAUCAUAAAAUGGCUGGAGGAAUGUAGCUUCGAUCUCGUAUUGAAGUGUUAUAGCCUUCGGCAGAUGUGAUGAUCGGGAUUGAGGAUUGCAACGGAUACCCUUCGGGGCUACCUGUCUGAUCUCUGAUUGUUGCUCUGGUGCCGAACGCGUGCUUACGGUUAUCAAAGUCGAUGGUCAACAGGUUAGAACGGGUUAAAUUCGUUAAGGAUGUUGACGUA
rnacentral:rRNA from 1 species